UGCAAGUCGAGGGGCAGCAUGGGAUAGCUUGCUAUUCAGAUCGGCGACCGGCGCACGGGUGACGUAACGCGUAUCCAACCUCCUGCCAGUAGGGAACAGCCCGGCGAAAGUCGGAUUAAUGCCCUAUGUUCUUCAAUGCGGACAUCAAGUUGAAGGAAAGAUUCAUCGCUGGCAGGAUGGGGAUGCGUCCGAUUAGCUUGCCGGCGGGGUAACGGCCCACCGGGGCGACGAUCGGUAGGGGUUCUGAGAGGAAGGUCCCCCACACUGGUACUGAGACACGGACCAGACUCCUACGGGAGGCAGCAGUGAGGAAUAUUGGUCAAUGGGCGUAAGCCUGAACCAGCCAAGUAGCGUGCCAGGAUGACGGCCCUACGGGUUGUAAACUGCUUUUAUGCGGGGAUAAAGUGCGGCACGUGUGCCGCUUUGCAGGUACCGCAUGAAUAAGGACCGGCUAAUUCCGUGCCAGCCGCCGC
rnacentral:rRNA from 1 species